CACUCGCGACGUCGGUCAAACUCGCGCAAACGCCUGCCGGCCAAUGUGAACACGAACUCGCUACGUCUACCGCGCCCGCACUCGCCGCCGCGCCCGCGCUUUCGACGUGAACAAGCACUUAGUCUAAGCGAAAGUAUACAAUAUUCGCCCUAGUUUAUCGAUAGCUUAUCUUUGUCUGUAGCAACAGACAUAAGCAUAUAAUCUGGUAGCCACCUACUAAAGUAACAUUCAAAAUGACGACUUUGACGCCAACUGCUGCACCCGGAAUUCGGUGAAUACACUGUCCGAAAAAACCGAGAUCCAGAUCCAAAAAACUGAUUUUCUCUACAUCUAACAUGAAGUUUGUGUGCGAGAGAGAAGGCCCAUUCAUUAGGUAAAUCAACAGAGAUCCUGUCAUCAAACAUUGUUAGCUACUCACUUAAUUCUUAGUGAAUAUCUGUGACCUUGCUCGUUCACGAAGCCCGCUAUAGAAAGCAGAGUAUUAAAUACACUUGACAUUGGCGAAAUCUAAAAGGAAACGCCAUAAACCUAAGAGAUAGAUAGAUACAAUACUAACUCUAUGGCUGUCACAUAAUAAUACUGGCGCUCCAAGUGACGGGGCAGUCGUUGAUAAUUCGAUCCAUAUUCGGUCGAUGACUUGCCGGAAGCUCCGAAAGCCACUUAAACACAGCUUCCUGGGAUACCCCGUCGAGUCUUUUUUUCGUACCUAAUCAUUGAUAGCCUGAGGGGCUAUUCCAGCUUCUCGCGGACGGGUAGGUGAGCUCACGGGCUCAACCUGAGAGAAUUGCUAACACUGGCCCUAACAAGAACAGUCCUUCGCUGAAGUUCGCUGAAUCUUACCAUUGAAUCAGAACAGCGACCUAUUGAGAAGAUCGGUUCAGAAACUCAGUAGCUUGUGUGUAUGGGCUAGUUCGCACGACGAACUCGUGCAUUCGAAGAAUUCCACGAAACGGUGAACGGUGCUUGGACUACCCAAAAGAACCGAAAGUGGAUCGGGAGGAUCCGAAAUGACGUGUUUAGAUCGACGGCAUCUGUGUUGACGUGUUUAGAUCGACGGCAUCUGUGUUGACGUGUUUAGAUCGACGACAUCUGUGUUGCCUGAUCGUCUGGGUCGUCGAAUAAAUGAAUAUUUAAAAAAUCAAAGACGUAAAACACACGAUGAAGAUUGUGAGGUAGAUUAUGAGUCACACAUACGUCUUUCUUGGAAUUUUGCAUAUUUUUACCUGCUACCUCCACUUUCCUGUUACCAGUUUGUAUUAAAAUAAGAAUCUUAAAAUGUUUACUAGUUAAAGCUGUUCAUUUACUCAGAUUUCUGUUAAAUAAACAUCUUCUUUGUAUGAUUAUUUAGUUACAGUGUGAUUUAUACUACGAUAGUUUAUAGAUUUCGACGGUUUGAGAAUAUUAUGUAUAUAAUCAUAGUACUUUAAUACUGUAUGAGGUGGACUUAGAUAAAACUUGCGAUUAUAAAUGUUCUCAACUAUUUUGCGUCUGACUAAUAAACUAAUAGGUAUCUGAAUUAUAAAAUUACGUCCAAACCGUGGGAGUGGCUCCGAGAAACUUUCUCUUUAGUAGGUAGGUAUGGUUUGUUUUAUAGCAUUUAAACAAAGAACUGUUAUAGUCCAAGUUAAGCAUUUGGAAUCGCGUAUAAAAACUUAUAAUUUUGAAUUACGCAAUCUUUAAAAACAUCUCGCCACGAUGAUAAUAUAUGACAUCAUCAUAGAAUAUGUAUCUACCGACGAAACGAAUUAAAAUGCAUUAAAAUUUGAUAAAUUGUAUUUUGCAAUUUCCAAAAUUUUCUAGAUAAAAAAUUAUCACACCAUCGGCAAAUACAGACUACAGUUAAAUUUAUAUUACUUUAAACUUUCAAUCAUUAUUUUGUCAGAAAAUUUUACGCACGGCACGUAUCUAAGAUUCGGAUAUAGAUAAUAGUCUGCCUCUUUAUUAUUAUCAUUUAUUUUUACAUAAUUAAUUAAAAUGAUGUACAAUUAAUGCUUAUUUAAGUACUUGAUAAACAAGCCACAAGGUCGGAUAGCAGUUUUAUAUCUUUCUAGAAAGACUGUCGAUAAUGUUCUUUUGACUAAUGAUUUUUAGGUUAACCACGUUUUUUAAUUGGGAUAUAAAUAAACAGCGUAGACAUGGCUUGCGUUAUUAUUUAUGUAAUAAAGAGAUAUACGCAGAACGAGACAUUUUGGUGCAAGGAUAAAUAAUUACUUUCAACAACUAAAUGAUUUUAGUCCGCCUGGAUUAUGUGCUUUUAGCUUUGCUUACUUUGAAAACAGGGUGUUGAAAUUUAAAUAACAAUUAUUUGCUAUAUUAUUCUCCUCACAAAAUUGGUAAUUCACUACACAAUUACAAUAAUUGUGUAUGAAUUGCCUAUGUAUCUUUUUUCUUUAUGGCAAUAUUUUAACUCUAUGUAGUUUUAUUCAUUUAUUUUGCGACUUUAACCUGGGAAUCCCCAAAUAUUUUUUUAUCCAUAAUUCAUGUACAAGUUAUUUUAAUUGGCGGUGACUAUCGCAAUGUAAUCAGAAUCUUAUCAUAUUAUGUAAUAAUAAAAUCUCUUGUUCGACAAAACACUUUAUUUACAACACUUAUAUGAACAUCCCUAUGACACAUUUAUUAUAUAGAACCAUUACAAUACAUAGACGAAGUAGCAACAAUAUUUAAGCAACUAGUUUGUCAUUUCUUUCACUUAAACAUAACAUUUCAAUAACUUAAAACUUAUAAUUAAUCAGUCUUUGGUGGGAAUUUUUUUCAGAAUUACGCCCCUAGACUUAGGCCAGUCCAGGGAAUAGCUCCGACAAGGAUUCCCACCAAAGAUCUGGCAACUCCAUUGAAUCAGAUUCACUGAGCGGUGACGAUAACGACUCGUAGCCUAAGUCAGAGCUCAGGUUGGUGUGCGCCGGAGACAAGAGCAAAUUAUCUUCCACCGACUUCGGAGACAGGGUCAUCGGCGAGAGCAUCUUCAUGUCGCACUCCAACGUGAUCGCUGAACUAUCGUUCUUCACCGAAUCAAUCUCUGUCUGAACUGGGAUUUCUUCUUCGCAGGGAAGUUCUAUCGUGACGCAAUCAUUAUCUUCGUCACAGCUUGCGUAGAAUAUGUCGCCUUUAUCGUUGUUCUCCUCUUUGAUUUCGAGAAGGUCUGCUGCGUGUGUGUAGGGAUGAGCAUAAGAGUGUUGUGCCAGUAUCCUGUCGACGUCAUGCUUGAUGUCUACUACAGCACCUCGACUGGGUUCCAGUUGUUCUGUUGUGGGCCCCACCACUUCAUCUCCUUUAGGGCACUCUCCAGCUUUCCUGGUUUCGACCUGCAUUCAAAGAAAAACAUCACUUUUAAUUUCAAUUUCAAUGGCAAGCUUCGAAAAUUUUUCAUUAUUUGUGUACAUAGAAAUCACCUCUUUUCUAUUUAUGUAUUCAUUAAUAUUAAACAUCUGCUUGUUUUAACACGAUGACGUCACACUGUGUUAAAGUUGCAUCAGUUGCCUGAUGUGAAUUUUGUUUAAACAACACCGGUAUUUCCAGUUUUAUAAUUUGUUUCAUAACAUAUAAACUGUAUGAAAACAGACAUUUUUAUAUGUAGUUAAAAAAGUGUAGUGAUCGUAUGUUGAUCAAUUAUGGAGUUUAUUAUAUUAUAUGUAUAAACUUACAUGUUGAGUCGUUCCUGCAGCACCUGCAUCAAUUUCUUGGAGGAGGGAGUUUGCAAGUUCAUGUAAGGUGUCGAUGUAUUCCUCGGAAUCGAAUUGCGCGAGGAGGUCUGCGAUAGGAGACACAUCGCUAGCAGCAGGCGAGCCGCGCGGACCGCCGCCGGGGGGGCCUCCUUCUGCUGAGGAGUAGACUCCGCUGGUCCUUGCCCACCCGGGACGCUCUGCGCCGCCGCCGCUUCGCGUAGCGCUGUGUUCUCGCUAAUCAACCUCUCGUUCAAAGCUUUCAAGCUCUCCACCUCACUUGUGAGACGCUCAUUCAUUUCUUUGAAAUCCCUUAUCUGACUCUCCAUUUCGUCCAUCUUGGCUUUCUUUCUGUCGCGAGAAGUCUGUGCUGCCACGCGAUUUUUCAGUUUCCUGUCAAAUAAAGCUUUUUUUGAGCAAUUUGGUAGAACAAUAUAUAAUUGAAAUAUUGUGCAGAAUUUCAUGAAACAUUCAAAGGUUGGACUUAAAUUUAAACAAAAUUAAAGUAAAAAAGCUGAAUCUUAUGAAAGCACCAAAAUGGAUAAAAUAUACCAUAUUAAGAAGUUCGAUUUGUUAAAUUGUAGAACAUUUUUUUUCUAAUGAUAGUGCUUCUUGACUUUAAAAAAGUUGGUUUUUGAAAUUGAUUCAUAAAAGUAGCCUAUUGCAGCGUGUCUUAUUUAUUCACAAAUACUAUGAACAACAAGCUAAUAUCACCAUUUUCCUCUACGAAUGAUGCAAUUUCCUGUAAUUCGUGUUUGGUAGCAAGAUUUAAAAUCUUAGAAUUAAUUGGAUUUUAUCCAUUGAUUUUUUUUAUGUAUAAUUAGGUAUGUGAAUAUUGCUGCCAGCCAUAAGACAUUUUCUUAAAAUAUGAAAUGCAUUUCAAUGGCGACUUUUCCGAAUUACGAAUCGGGGAAUUCCAACGAAAUUUGGAGAAGCAUUAGGGAGCAUCGAACCUGAUAUGGGAAUCCCUUGGCUUUACGAUACAAAUUAACUUUUUACCUUAAUUAACCUUUCACAUUAAGUAGGUAAAGACUUCAUAAUUUUACUGUUAUGACUUAUUUACUUAAUAAACAUUAAUUUCUGUUAGGUAUGGUUAGAAUGCCUCAUUGUCAAAAUAAGUAACAUAACCGUUAGUGAUAAUAUUUUGUCACGUACAAUUCGCGUAGUAUAAUAAGAAUUAGCUUAGAGGUGUAAAUUUCUAUGUAACUGUACAUAACGGUAGGUGAGUUCAAUAAACGCAGUAUUUAAACAAUAAAGUUAUAAAAUGAACCGUCGAAAAUAAACAAGUGAACUACAGACUUCAAUUGCGGACUUACAUUCUUCAUUUUUAGUUAUAAUUAGUGUAUUAUUAAAUUAUUAACUGGUGACACGUACGCAGAUAGCGGAUCAAUAGUAAUGCAAACGUUAUUGACAAAAUCAUGAAGACUCACUUUCUUUGCAUUUUUUCUUCCCAUGUCAGAUGGUCCAGUCGCCGUUUCCUGGACGGAGACGGUGACGCUACAUCUAGAAUCAUAUCCGAAUCUUCCUCCUUCACCAAGUAGUUGUUAGGCACCGUUAUAAUUAUAGGGGCACUCAUUUUUUCGUAAUCACUCCACUCAAUCAAUGAGAAAACUCAAUUUCUUAUUACCAUGCUAUCUCGAAUUUUCUAUGAACGCCUACUAAUAGAGCACUUUUAAGCGAUAUGCCUUUCUGUGUGAAUAACAAACGAUUGCGUCGUACAUAUUCAACCUCACAAUGAAUAAUAAAGCAUAAUUUGAGCUGGUGUAAGCCGUGUAUGUGGACGAUUGUGAUUGGUUGGUCGUUAUCAGUGGGCGGAAAUGUCGAUAAUGAUUACACGACAAAAGAAGAUGGAGCUAUAAUUGAUGCGAGAUAAAACAAGAUGGAAGAAAUGACGUAGAUUUUGAAGGCAAUUGAACGAUAGAAAUAGCACAUUGAGAUCUGUUCAGAAUCUACCACCGGAU